rnacentral:rRNA from 1 species
GCACCAGCGGUGGAGCAUGUGGUUUAAUUCGACGCGACGCGAAGAACCUUACCUGGGCUUGACAUGCACGGGAAUGUCGUAGAAAUACGGCAGCCCUUCGGGGCUCGUGCACAGGUGCCGCAUGGCUGUCGUCAGCUCGUGUCGUGAGAUGUUGGGUUAAGUCCCGCAACGAGCGCAACCCUUGUCCUAUGUUGCCAGCACGUAAUGGUGGGGACUCAUGGGAGACUGCCGGGGUCAACUCGGAGGAAGGUGGGGAUGACGUCAAGUCAUCAUGCCCCUUAUGUCCAGGGCUUCACACAUGCUACAAUGGCCGGUACAGAGGGCUGCGAAACCGUGAGGUGGAGCGAAUCCCACAAAGCCGGUCUCAGUUCGGAUCGGGGUCUGCAACUCGACCCCGUGAAGUCGGAGUCGCUAGUAAUCGCAGAUCAGCAAUGCUGCGGUGAAUACGUUCCCGGGC